rnacentral:lncRNA from 1 species
GUAUAUGAAACUGUUUUCUGAUCCAUAGCACUGGGUUACCUUCAGUUCUGCUUUUGUCUUGUUUCAGAACUUUAAAAUAACUGCUCAAUUAUUUAUACGAAGCACCUAGGUUACCUUACAAUCUGUUGUUUUGAAAAUAUUUUGUUUAUUAUUGUAUAUAUUUAAGUGUUUUGUAUUUUUUAUAGUUGCAUUGAGUGUGCCAAAAAAUAUAUUGUAAAAACUUGAUGUUCGUGACGUCACAUACACUAUGAAAACUUGAUGUACGUGACGUUACAUACCAAACAAUGAC